GACGAACGCUGGCGGCGUGCCUAAUACAUGCAAGUCGAGCGAAUCUUUGGGAGCUUGCUCCUAAAGAUUAGCGGCGGACGGGUGAGUAACACGUGGGCAACCUGCCUAUAAGACUGGGAUAACUUCGGGAAACCGGAGCUAAUACCGGAUAAUUCUUUUCUACUCAUGUAGAAAAGCUGAAAGACGGUUUACGCUGUCACUUAUAGAUGGGCCCGCGGCGCAUUAGCUAGUUGGUGAGGUAACGGCUCACCAAGGCCACGAUGCGUAGCCGACCUGAGAGGGUGAUCGGCCACACUGGGACUGAGACACGGCCCAGACUCCUACGGGAGGCAGCAGUAGGGAAUCUUCCGCAAUGGACGAAAGCCUGACGGAGCAACGCCGCGUGAGUGAUGAAGGUCUUCGGAUCGUAAAACUCUGUUGUUAGGGAAGAACAAAUUUGUUAGUAACUGAACAAGUCUUGACGGUACCUAACCAGAAAGCCACGGCUAACUACGUGCCAGCAGCCGCGGUAACAC
rnacentral:rRNA from 1 species